rnacentral:rRNA from 1 species
AGGUUUGAUCAUGGCUCAGGAUGAACGCUGGCGGCGUGCCUAACACAUGCAAGUCGAGCGAUCUCUUCGGAGAAGAGCGGCGGACGGGUGAGUAACGCGUGGGUAACCUGCCCUGUACACACGAUAACAUACCGAAAGGUAUGCUAAUACGAGAUAAUAUACUUUUAUCGCAUGGUAGAAGUUCAAAGCUUUUGCGGUACAGGAUGGACCCGCGUCUGAUUAGCUAGUUGGUAAGGUAACGGUUACCAAGGCGACGAUCAGUAGCCGACCUGAGAGGGUGAUCGGCCACAUUGGAACUGAGAACGGUCCAAACUCCUACGGGAGGCAGCAGUGGGGAAUAUUGCACAAUGGGCGAAAGCCUGUGCAGCAACGCCGCGUGAGCGAUGAAGGCCUUCGGGUCGUAAAGCUCUGUCCUCAAGGAAAUAAUGACGGUACUUGAGGAGGAAGCCCCGGCUAACUACGUGCCAGCAGCCGCGGUAAUAGUAGGGGGCUAGCGUUAUCCGGAAUUACUGGGCGUAAAGGGUGCGUAGGUGGUUUCUUAAUCAGAGGUGAAAGGCUACGGCUCAACCGUAGUAAGCCUUUGAAACUGGGAAACUUGAGUGAGGAGAGGAGAGUGGAAUUCCUAGUGUAGCGGUGAAAUGCGUAGAUAUUAGGAGGAACACAGUUGCGAAGGCGGCUCUCUGGACUGUAACUGACACUGAGGCACGAAAGCGUGGGGAGCAACAGGAUUAGAUACCCUGGUAGUCCACGCCGUAAACGAUGAGUACUAGCUGUCGGAGGUUCCCCCUUCGGUGGCGCAGCUAACGCAUUUAAGUACUCCG